GGGAUUUGCAUGGUGUAAGGACCUCCGAUACAUAAUAGACUAGUUUUUGGGUGGGGAAUUUAUGUCCCUCUUCCUCUCGUUCAACGACGAGUACAACGCUGACUACCUGGUUGGUUGCCGAGGUAUACAGCAACAUAGGCUCGCCAACACCUGGGGCGGCUAGGAUUGGGUUGCUUGCGAGUAGGCCUUGAUUUCUUCCAAUCCGGCUGUGGCAGCAUCCGUCCAUUCAAAGCUGUCAAUGCGUCUUAGUAGCUUGUAGAGUGGUAACGCUUUUUCUCCUAAUCUGGAGAUGAAGCGGCUCAAGGCCGCGAUGCACCUUGCUAGUUUUUUGGACAUACUUUAGCUUGAUUGGUAUGGCCAAUUGUGACAAGGCUCUUAUCCUAGCUGGGUUUGCUUUGAUUCCUCUAUGGGAAACAAUGAACCCUAGUAAUUUUUUGGUUGGAACGCCGAAGACACAUUUCUCCAGAUUGAGGCGUAUGUCGUAUGUCCGUAGGUUUUCGAAGGUAAGGUGAAGAUCGCCGAUUAGUGUGUCGACGUGUUUUGUCUUGAUGACCAUGUCGUCCACAUAUGCUUCGACUGUUUUGCCGAUUUGUUUUUCCAAGCAUGUUUGAAUCAUACGUUGGUAAGUGGCCCCUGCGUUUUUGAGUCCGAAGGGCAUAGUAUUGAAGCAGAAAGGGUCGUAUGGGGUGAUGAACGCUGUUGCAGCCUGAUCCUAUUCCUUCAUUUUAAUCUGAUGGUAUCCGGAAUAGGCGUCUAGGAAACACAAUUAAUCGUAUCCCGCGGUUGCACCGAUGAUUUGGUCAAUGCGGGGCAACGGGAAAGGAUCUUUAGGGCAGGCCUUGUUGAGGUCUUUGAAGUUGACUCAAAGGCGCCAGGAUUUGUCCUUCUUUCGUAUGAUGACCAAGUUGGCUGACCAAUCUGGAUGUUUGAUUUCCCUGAUGAACCCGACUUCUAGUAGUUUAGCUAGUUCUUCUCCCAUGGCUUGACACUUGGGUUCAGAAAAUCGCCGCCGUGUUUGCUUCACGGGUUUUAACCCCUUGAUUAUGUUUAGGCUAUGCUCGGCCAGCCUGCAUGGGAUGCCCAACAUAUCUGAAGGAUGCCAGGCAAAAAUAUCCAGGUUCUCGUGCAAGAAUGUGCGCAAAGAGGCGUCCACUGUCGGUUCUAGCUGUGCUCCAAUAGACGAUGUCUUGUUGGGGUCCGUCGGGUGCACUUGAAAUUUGACUAUUUCCUUUACUGGCUUGAAGGAGGUGGAUUUAGGUCUUUUGUCAAGGAUCACAUCAUCCUUGUCCACCGUGGACCAUAGGGUGGUUAGUUCGUCGGCCACUAGGGCUUCGCAUAACGCCUCGAGGGCCAAGGAUGUGGUUUUGUUUUCGGCACGUUGUGCUCUGUCCAGGUCGCUCGAGAUUGUGAUGAUUCCGUUGGGUCGGCAUUUUAAGCUUCAUAUACCUGUAAUGGGAUAUAGCCUGGAAGAUGAGAAGGCGUCCCGUCCGAGGAUGACGUGGUACCCACUGCUGAAGGGGAACACAUGAAAGAGGAACUCUUCGGACCUGUAGUUCUCGGGCGUGCCAAACACCAGAUCCAAUGUAAUUCUCCCAGAGCAUCGUGCUUCUCGACUGGGGAUGAUGCUGCGAAAGGUGGUGUUGCUUUGCUCGAUGCGUGUUCUAUCAAUCUGUAUUUUGUCGAGCAUAUCUUCAUAGAUGAUGUUAAGCCCACUGUCGCUGUCCAUGAGCAUUUUAGUAAGCCUAAAACCGUCCACAAUGGGGUUUAGGACUAGGGCGGCCGGUGCCCAGACUGUCCGAGCCUUUGGUUUGUCUUUGGUGGUAAAGGUUAUUGCCGCGUCGUUCCAUGGGCUCAGUGCGGUAACUUGGUGGACUUCGGUGAGGUCGCGGAGUUCCCUUUUUGGCCAAUUACAUGAAGAAAAGGUCUCGAAGACCACGAGGACGUUGUAAUCGUUCCUCUCUGGGGAGGAUUUCCCUGGAGUUAUGGUGGAGAGGAUGGCCUCUCCACUGUUUGCUACCUGCCGUAGUACCCAACAUGCUCGAAGGCUAUGGGUUGGGUCUAUGCUCAAGGUCGCAUGUAUCAGACAGGGCUUGGCAAGGUGUUCAUGAAGAACAGAUAUAUAUCCCAUAAAGGGUUUAUUUUCUCUGCCGCCAGAGUGAUGGUCGGAUGUCCCACUAGGGUGCUUCCAUUUAGUCCAGGCCACUGCUUAAAGGCAGCGGGCUCCAGUUGAGUUUUCUGGUCCUUCCAUGUGCUUUCCACCGCAUAGUACUUUUGCACUACCUGUGACAAUUCUGUGAAGCUCCAUAUGUGACGACGGUCGAGGGCGUUCAGUAUUCCCUCGUCGGUACAAUUGUGAUGGAACACCGAAACUGCAUCGUGGUCGCAGCAAUCUUUGAUCUUGCUUUUUACAAGUAGGAAUGUGGCCGAAAAGUGAUGGACCAUUUCCUGAGGUUGCUGCAGUAUAUACAUUAGGUCGUAUAUGUCUAGAGGCCCGGAGUUUCUUCGAGAGUAUUAAUUGUGGUGGGUGGGUGGGGUUAAAAUUUGAAUCCCUACCCACGUUAGUACUUGGAGUUUGGAAAAUCUCCAAAGUGACCAGUUCAGAUCUGGGGAGAUCGAAGUGCUCAUCCGUUAUCUGAGCCAGAGUUUGGGGGAGUUGGAGUCCCGCCUAAUGGUAGAGUAUCUGACUCGAGAGGUUUGGAGACCGGAACAUAUUUAGUUCUCAACAUAGGGGAGAAGUAUCCUUGGCUCGUUCCUCAACGACCGCUACAAGGUGGGUGACUGGCGGGUGAUGAAUCUCCCUCUGGUCAGGCUUAAGCCCGAUCCGACCAUAAUCUGUUGAAACCCCCAGGGCGGCGAUGCGGUCUAGCAGCUCGUUUAAAGACGAUACUUCUACCGGAUCCAUCUUUUUGGAGUACUCGAGACCGAUGCGGAGGAUGUGUUCGGCGGUCAUAGGGGGUGUUGUAGGCUUGACAGCCGUAUGGGAGCCUACGAUGAAACUGCCGAGCUAGAGGGUCAGCCUAGAAGACAGGCUCCUUUGAGAGGUAAUGCUGUCGUUGAUGACUAGGUGAGCCAUAGAUCACUUUUUCGGGACUACACAAUAGAGCUCUCAAUGAAAGCACCAAUGCGGUGUCAAAACCGGCAAAUCUUGGGUAGGGGGCCCAAGAUGUGUGUCUAAGGAUCGAUGGUAACAAUGGACAAAGGGACACAAUGUUUACCCAGGUUUGGGCCCUCUUAAAGGAGGUAAAACCCUAUGUCCUACUUGAUUGUAUUUGAUGAGUAUAGUGGUUACAAGAGUUGAUCUACCUCGAGAUCAUAAUGGCUAAACCCUAGCUUGUCUAGCCUAUGAGUAUUAUGACGAUGAUAGCCUCUACGGACAAAAUCCUCUAGUUUAUAUACACACCAGAGGGGCGUAGGGUUUGUACAAAGUCGGUUCCCCAGGGAAGGAAAUAGUACAUCCGGACUCUAAUCUUGCCAUCCCGGUGCACAGGAGUCCUACCCGUAUAUGGAGUAAUGGCCUUUAGCUUUAUCUUCAUGGCCCAUCCUGUCCGGCCCACAUCCUUGAGCCAGACACAUGAGGACCCCCAAAACCAGGACUCCCUCAACCACUCCCAGUGAUGACCGUAGUUUGAGGAGUUCGUGUAUUCAUCGUGUGUUAAUGCUUUGUUCCAGUUCUCUAUUAAAAGGAGGCCUUGGUAUCCCUUAGUUUCCAAUAGGACCCCGCUACCACGGGAGGGUAGGACAAAAGAUGUCAUGCAAGUUCUUUUCAUAAGCACGUAUGACUAUUUACGGAAUACAUGUCUACAUUAUAUUUAUGAACUGGAGCUAGUGUCGUAUCCCCUAGGUUAUAACUGUCUCAUGAUGAAUAUCAUCCAAUGAGUCACUGAUCCAAUGCCUACGAAUUUACAUUAUCUUGUUCUUGCUAAGUUGCUACUGUUGCUACUGCUAUCGUUACUGCUACCAAAUCACUGCUAUCACUGUUACCGUUAUUGUUGCUGCUGCUACCAUUAUCAAAACUAUCAUAUUAUUGUGCUACUGAUCACUUUGCUGUAGAUAAUUAAUCUCCAGGUGUGGUUGAAUUGACAACUCAGCUGCUAAUACUUGCAAAUAUUCUUUGGCUCCCCUUGUGUCGAAUCUAUAAAUUUGGGUUGAAUACUCUACCCUCGAAAACUUUUGCAAUCCCAUAUACUUGUGGAUUAUCAACCAACAUCACACAUAAUCUCAAAAGGCAAGUUCCAAUUAGGUGGUUGAACAACAGGUGCAGAAAUUAAGGCUUUCUUGAGUGUUUCGAAGGCUUCCAAACAAUCAUCAUAAAAAAAAGGAAUAUCCUUUUGCAAAAUAUUUGUAAGAGGCCUAGAAAUUUUAGAAAAGUCUUUGAUAAAUCUCCUAUACAAACCAGCAUGACCAAGGAAACUAUGAAUACCUUUGAUAUCUUUAGGACAUGGCAUUUUCUCAAUUGCAUCAACCUUGGCUUAGUCCACCUCAGUACCUCUUUUAGAAAUUUUAUGGCCCAAAACAAUAGCUUCGUUAAUCAUGAAGUGGCACUUCUCCCAAUUUAAGACAAGAUUUGUUUGCUCACAUCUCUGCAAAACUCGUUCAAGAUUGCUUAAACAAUCAUCAAAAGACUUCCCAUAAACGGAAAAUCAUCCGUGAAAACCUCAACAAUCUUUUCACAAAAUUCAGAGAAUAUAGCAGUCAUACAUCUUUGAAAGCUAGCAGGUGCAUUACAUAGACCAAAAGGCAUACAUCUAUAAGCAUAAGUUCCAAAAGGGCAAGUAAAAGUGGUCUCUUCUUGAUCAGGUUGAGAAACAUGUAUUUGUGAAAAACCAGAAUAUCCAUUAAGGGAGCAAAAGUGUGUGUGCUUAGAUAGUCUUUCUAGCAUUUGAUCAAUAAAAGGCAGAGGGUAAUGAUCUUUUCUCGUUGCUUUGUUUAAUUUUCUAAAAUCAAUUACCAUUCUAUAGCCUAUGACAAUUAUUUGUGGAAUAAGUUCAUUAUUAUCAUUAGGAACAACAAUUAUACCUCCCUUCUUAGGGACACGAUGAACAUGACUUACCCAUCUACUAUCAUCUAUAGGAUAGAUUAUACCUGCUUCCAGAAGUUUCAAUAUUUCCGUUCUUACCACUUCUUUCAUCUUCAGAUUUAACCAACGUUGGUGAUCAACAACGGGUUUAGCAUCAGGUUCCAUAUUAAUCUUGUGCUAACAUAGAGUGGGACUAAUGUGCUUAAGAUCAUCAAGAGUAUAUCCAAUAGCAGCUCGGUGCUUCCUUAGAACUUUCAACAAUCUUUCUUCUUCAUGUUUUGAAAGGUUAGCACUAAUAAUAACAUGAUAUAUCUUUUUAUCAUCAAGAUAAGCAUAUUUCAAAGUGUCUGGCAAUUGUUUUUUCAAACACAGGAUCACCUUUAGGUGGAGGAGGAUCUCUGUCGGUGUCAAAACCGGCGGAUCUCGGGUAGGGGGUCCCGAACUGUGCGUCUAGGCAGAUGGUAACAGGAGACAAGGGACACGAUGUUUUAACCCAGGUUCGGGCCCUCUCGAUGGAGGUAAAACCCUACUCCUGCUUGAUUGAUAUUGAUGAUAUGGGUAGUACAAGAGUAGAUCUACCACAAGAUCAGAGUGGCUAAACCCUAGAAGCUAGCCUAUGGUAUGAUUGUUGUUCGUCCUACGGACUAAAACCCUCCGGUUUAUAUAGGCACCGAAGAGGGUUAGGGUUACACAGAGUCGGUUACAAUGGUAGGAUAUCUACAUAUUCGUACUGCCAAGCUUGCCUUCCACGCCAAGGAAAGUCCCAUCCGGACACAAGACGAAGUCUUCAAUCUUGUAUCUUCAUAGUCCAGGAGUCCGGCCAUCCGGACACCCCCUAAUCCAGGACUCCCUCAGUAGCCCCUGAACCAGGCCUCAAUGACGACGAGUCCGGUGCGCAUAUUGUCUUCGGCAUUGCAAGGCGGGUUCCUCCUACGAAUAUUUCAUAGAAGAUAUUAAACACAAGGAUAGUGUCCGGCUCUGCAAAAUAAGUUCCACAUACCACCGUAGAGAGAAUAAUAUUUACACAAGUUCAAUCUGCUGAUCUAUUUCGUGGCGUGACAUCGCACCAUGGCCAAGCCUUUAUUCGAAUCGUUUUUACUGUCCCACCUUAGCGCGUUUAGCGAGGCGGUUUCCUUGGCACGUCUCAUCAAAGCAGAGAUCGUGUCCCCUUAUUCCGGGAUUCUCAUCAAUACGAGCGUGGGUAACCCAGUCGUGCCCGUUGGCACAUCUCCUCUAUCGAAGGCGAGUCCCGAACGGUCACGGGGAAGGCCCUUGGUAUUCAACCUCUUUAUAAAGAGACCAAGGCUCCACUCCUUUCUUUCAAUCUCAAUCGAAUCCACCCCUCGCCUCGAGUUCCAACACCCAAAGCUCCAGAUACAGGCGCUUCGGACCUUCGAUGAUGUCCGGCUCCGACCUGCAAGGCUGGUGGAUGCCUUCCUCCGUUAUGGAAGAAGACGUGCUAAAGCUAAGAGAUGCUAGGUAUCUAACCGGCGAAAUUUCGCAUAGGCUGCCUGCCCAAGGGCAGGUUAUUCCUACUCCCAAGCCUGGUGAAAGCGUGGUGUUCACGUCUCACUUCCUUCGUGGUCUAAGCUUCCCGACGGACCCCUUCGUGAGGGGGCUCAUGUUUUACUAUGGGCUGGAAUUUCAUGACUUAGAUCCGGAGUCCAUCCUCCACAUCUCAUCGUUCAUUGUCGUAUGCGAAGCCUUCCUCUGCAUUACCCCUCACUUCGGAUUGUGGCUCAAGACCUUCAAAGCGGAGCCGAAGAUGAUCAAGGGGCAGCAGGCAGAGUGCGGAGGGGCUGUUAUAAGCAGGAAUGCUGACGCUCCGUGGCCCGAGGGCUCUUUUCAAGAAGAGCUCAGCCUAUGGCAACAAGAGUGAUUUUAGAUCACAGCUCCUAGGGGCACCAAAUGGGUGGCGCCACCUGCCUUUCGCUCGGGUCCUUCACCGCAGCUGGCGUCAUGGGUCAAUAAAGGACUUGACUGGGGGCCGUCCAAGGACGUGCCAUUGCUGCAGGGCCGCAUUCAAGAUCUCCUAGAGAGAGAGAUCACUCUGGUCGUAGUAGCGCAGGUCAUGCUGAUUCAUCGCAUCCUGCCCUGCAGACAUCGCCCCCUCCACCUGUGGGAAUUUAACCCGGAGGGACCACGAGCUCUCCAACAUUUUAUGGGCGCGACGCCCGUGGAAAUGUACAAGCUUUUCUUCGGAUCACAAGCGAUGUGUCCAGACUUGACCGAGGACGCAGGUCUAAGCUGCAAUCGCCCGGAUACUCAAGUAAGUAGCCCUGUAUCCGGACAUGCUAUCCCAUAUUUAUCAUCAAUUUGCCCUCAAAAGAGUUGUCCCUUGAACAGGAGUGGAUAGCAAAAGCAAAGCUAAUCAGGUGUCCGGCCCCCCUCCCUGAGACCACGCCGGAUCCCGUGUUAACCAGGAUGCUGGAGGUUGCGCCUUCGGAAGAAGGUGAAGGGGGGAACAAGGAAGCUACCGCCUCCGCGAAGGAGGCUGUCAGGAAAGGAGGGAUCGAGAAUCCCUCCAUCCAAGGGAAGAAGAGGACCGCCUCUGAAGACCCGGAGACCAUGGUCUCAAAGCGGGGGAAGAAAUCUUCGUCAGAGGGUCCUGCGCCGAGAGAUGCCUCGGCCGCAUUAUGCCCCCAAGGGGAUCAGCCCUCCACCGAGCCGUAAGUAAAAAGUGGAGUUUUUAUUAAAAUAAAGGAUAUCCCUGCCCUAUUUCUGAUGAAGAUAACCGAAGUUUUACCUUGUAGUUCGGAUCUCAGCCCUUCUCAGCAGAGCUCAUCUUCGGGGGAUCUUCAUCCGGAGAUGAUUGAGAGCAAAAUGCCUCCCCCUGCCGUACCGUCGUGUGAGGUGGGCGACCCUGAGGUGUCAUUGUGGAGGGUUUCUCCGAGUCCGGCGGAGCCGGAAGGCAGUCAUAUUUCCCCUCAAAGCCCUCCGCGUCCGGCCUUCGAAAAAGGCCAUCGGACGAGUCCGACACCACCUGGUGUACGGUUGGAGGAGCUGAAGGAUCUGCUCGGGCGAGCGUCUAUCUCAGAAGAUCACCGUGCAUUAAUGGGUACGGUGAUUGAAAGGAUUUCAUCCGCUAAGAGUGGAUUGCACGAAGCCGUCAGAAGUUUACUAACAGGUUUUGAGGUACGCAAAAUGAUGUACCUUCUGACAGGUUCGCGUAUUAAAUGCGCCCUGUGUAGAUAGUAGCCCCUGAGGCUCGGUGUGUUGUCAAAAAAUGACAGCACACCGAGGAUCAUAAUCCUAGGUAUAAUAUGUCGCCCUUCCUAUGUAGGGGGCGAAGGGUCCGGUGGCUGGCCGGACUGAUGAAUUUGCCGAACUGAAGCGGCAACUUGACGUGGCGGAUUCCGACGUCGCGCUUUUCAAUAAGCGACUUGACGAGUCACAAGGUAUGCAAUUUCUCCGCGGACACCUGGUAAGGGAGCUUGAUGCCCGUGCCUUACAACAAGUAUGCUUGAUGCAGAUGGUGCCGCUGCCAUGGAGAACCUGCGGGCGGAACUCGCCCGAGCCAAGGAGCAGGCCAGAAAGAGUGACGUGGCUGCCUUAAAGGCGGCCGAAGAGCUAAAAGCCGAACAGGCUGCUCACUGCCGAAGCAAGAAGGAAAUGGCUGAGAUGGCCAUGGAGUUGAAGAAUGCUGCCAACCGCUGCAAGCUUCUUGAAAAAGAAGAUUGAGCGGUACAAGAGGACCUGAAGAAGGCCGCUACUGAGGCCAAGGAUGCUCGCUCUGCGAUGAGAGCUAUGAAGGAGGAGCUGCGUCAGGCCAGAGAUAUCGCGGCUGGAAAGCCCUUUCUGCUGCAGAGGAAAUUCAUGGAUCCUAAAUAUGCUCAGUUGGACCGGCUGUGGAGUGCGGAGGAUGCUUAUCUGGACUUGGCGGCAAGUGCCACGGACGCGGCCGAACACUUCCGAGAUCAAGAGGAUCACGAAAUGGCAAAGGUUUUUUGGUCGCAGUUCCGUAAUCCGGAGCACCCACUUCCAUUAACCGAUCGCUUGGCCGAAUGGGCGGAGCUGAAUAGGUUAUCCGGACUUGCCAUGAAGGAUGUCGUGAGUCUUUUGUGGUCGAAGAGGCCUGAGCCGAAAAGUUAUUUUGGCUUGGUGCACCAGUUCCUUGGUGCGGUGCCGCAUAUCAAUGCAAUGAGAAGGUCGGCAUGCAUAGAGGGUGCACGGAUGGCUCUUUCCCGUGUCAAGACAUACUGGGCGGAGAUGAAGGCCACCGAUGUUGCAUCCCAAGAUUCAGACGAAAGCCGAGUACCUGUCGAGCACUAUUUUCAGGAAGUUCUGCAGGGCGCUCAUUUAAUAGAGACGCAGUGCUUGAAGGAUAUUAUAUCCGAAUAACAUGUAUUAUUGUGAAACAAUGUUUCGAUGAAAUAUAAAAGCUUUUUAUACUUGUGCCUUCAAGAAUUGAAACACCUCCUGUGCAGCCGUUAAUGUAUAUGUGUAUAUAACCUGAAAGAUGGCAGUCUUCGGCUUCAGCCCCCACGCAUAUAAUGCGGGGGUGUUUGCAAAAGGCGCGUUUUCACACUUGAUCCAACGUCUUGGUCUUAUAAAGGAGGUGGUAGCGCAACAAACUAGGCAACCGGACUAUAAUGCUUUAUCACUUUUACUUAGCCAUAGGAGUUUGACAGUGGGGCUACUAUAUAGCCCCUAGGGGCACUGCGCUCACCCGAAUUCAGGGCGCGUAUGUGCCUGACCGGGAAACGGCCCUUCGUCUAUGUGGAGGAAUCCUAAAGAUUCCGGUGGGUCAUCGAGUGGUUGACCAGUCUCACGCUAUAUCAUGACAGUCAGUUUUCGGCUUUCUCUACUGAGGUGCUCGCCUGGACGAACCGGCGCACAGUCGCAGUAGUUCUCUUGGUGCCGCGUUAGCCGAUAGAGCAGACCGUAAGGCAGCAAAACACAGGAGCCGGGCAAACCCAACAUUUGACCAAAGACAUGAUUCGGAGCUGAUGCAUAUAAGGCCUAACUCGAGACGCCGAACACUCCCUAAGGUAUUCGGUCUUUAUGAAAACGGGCCGAACAACGCCCUUGGUAAUAAGCCCCUGGUGUCCAGGUACGCGCAAAAUUCUGACGUGGCCCAUGCCAAAACGCCAGCCUCCUCCUUGGUUAUAGCAAGAAACCAGGGGAUGUGUAUCAACAAGAGACAAUAAAAAAGGUUUAUGCAGGGACUUAAUCUGAAAAGAAUCCUUGCAACGGGUCCCUACUGCACGUCUGCGCCUGUGUCUCCGUUGUGCCCUAUCCUAGACGGGUGUAGCACGGUGUUCAUCUGUAAAAGAGAGGAACUUUGUUUAAAAAGAUCAUGCGAAAAUGUAGGUUAUAUUAAAUAAACAAAGUACAAGUCAAAAAAUGAAUAAAAUUGAGCUUUAUUGUCUCUUGCUGUAUAUGCACGGAGCCCCUUGUGCGGGGGUAUGCGGGUGGUAAGCCCUUGUAUGUUUACGCCGGACUCGUAUAACCGUGUCCGGGGUCUGAUCGACCUAUUUAGGUGCUUGGAUUAAUAAAGCCAGUUUAGUGUGUGGCUGUCAAGGCAGUCACACAAUCUUCCGCGCUCGAGGAACACUCGAUAUUUCCCUUUAAGGAGAUGAUGCCUCGCGGACCGGGCAUUUUAAGUGUAAGGGAUGCAUAAUGCGGUAUUGCGUUAAAGCGGGCGAAAGCUUCGCGUCCCAGGAGUGCUUGGUAGCUACUUGUAAAUGGGGCGAGGUGGAAGUUUAAAUUUUCGUGGCGGAAGUUGUCGGGUGGGCCGAACAUAACUUCUAGCAGUAGAGAGCCCGUACAAUGGGCAUAUGGGCCUGGCAUUACCCCUUUGAAAGAAGUGUUGCUAUGGCGAACUUUGGCUGGGUCUAUCCCCAUUUUGCGGAUUGUGUCCUGAUAUAGCAGGUUGAAAUCACUGUCGCCAUCCAUUAAGACUUGUGUAAAUAGGAGUCCGUCAAUUAUCGGAUUUAAUAUCAAGGUAGUCCAUCCUGCAUUCCGGAUACUUCUAGAAUAAUCCUGAUGGUCGAAGGUGAUUGGUUUUAACAACCAGUGGUGGGACUCCUCUGGGAUAGGCCGUAUGGCGCGUACCUCUAUGGGCGCUGCUCUAUUUUUCCCUUUUGUCACGCGAAGUGAGUUUACUGUUUUGACUUCUUGUGGGAAAUUCUUUUGUUUUCCGGUGCUCUGCUUGUGAGGAUCGUCAUCGUCCUCGCUUGGUGUGUCAAGCCCCUUGUGUUCGGCGUUGAGUUUGCCAGACUGCUUGAAGACCCAACAAUCUCUGUGGGUAUGAUUCGCAGGCUUCCCGGGGGUACUGUGGAUUUGGCAUACCUUGUCCAAGAUUUUGUUUAAGUUAGAUAACUCGUCCCUAUUAUCUUUAGGGGGCAGUUUUUCAUGAUUAUGUCGUGAGCUUCUGAAUCCGGCGUUGACUGCCGUGCUCUUCGGGCUAUUCCCCUUGGUCCGGCGCUGGUCCUUGCUGCGUCGUGGUUUCCCGUUUCCAUCCCUGACUUCGGAUGUACUUGGGUUGCUGGUACUGCAUCUUGCCAGCCAUCUAUCCUCUCCCGCGUAGAAGCGGGUCAUGAGGCUUGUUAAUGCGUCCAUUGUUCUUGGCUUUUCUUGGCCGAGGUGUCUGGCGAGCCAUUCGCCUCGGACGUUGUGUUUCAAAGCUGCUAAGGCUUCGGCGUUCGGACAGUCGACUAUUUGGUUCUUUUUAGUAAGGAAUCUGUUCCAGAAUUUUCGGGCUGACUCUCCGGGUUUUUGAGUUAUGUGACUUAAAUCUUCUGCAUCCGGAGGUCGGACAUAGGUCCCUUGAAAAUUUGCCCGAAAAGCAUCCUCGAGCUCUCCCCAACUUCCAUGGGUAUUUUCGGGGAGGCUUUUGAGUCAAUGCCUGGCUGGCCCUUUGAUCUUGAGGGGUAAGUAUUUUAUGGCGUGGAGGUCAUCUCCUCUAGCCAUGUGUAUGUGGAGGAUGUAGUCCUCGAUCCAGACUCCAUGGUCUGUUGUUCCGUCGUAUGCCUCUAUGUUUACGGGCUUGAAUCCCGCUGGAAAUUCAUAAUCCAGAAACUCAUCGGUAAAACAUAGGGGGUGUGCGGCACCCCUAUAUUUAGGUGUGCCAUAAUAUUCGGAUACUUUAUGUGUUGCAUUGCUUACUAGAGCUUGCUUUAUUGGCCCGUAGAUAGAUCUAACUGGGCCAUCCUUUUGAUGCGAAUCCGUGUGCGGAUCGCGGGCCGGCUUGUGUGCGGCGCCGUUUGCCGCUCUAUGUUUGCCACGGGGUCGUCUAUCCGACCGAGUGGUCUCUUUGCUUUUAGAUUGCGGGGGCUCUAUGGCCUCCCCAUCGAAUUCGGGCAGUAGUUUUCGCUUCGGGUAGCUCUUUGUUCGGCGACUAUCACCGUAUUUGUCUGUGGUGUUGAGUACUUUGCUCCAUCUGAUUCUGACCGCAUCUUCCGCUGUUUUGAGCUUCCGCUUCUGCUCUUUCAGGCUACACGCAGUGGCGACGAGCCUUUUGUGGAGGUUCUUCUGCUCCGGUAACUUUUCCGGCGUGAGAUCGCCCGGACUGUUAUCUUCGCCUGGGACAGGUUGUUUAUCCAGAUUGUCCUAUUCGGACUGUUGCUCGAUAGCAUGUUCGUCGUCCACCGGUUCGCCCUGCUCUAUGGCUGGGUCUGUAUGGCUGAUGUCUUUGUCGAGGCGGGACUUUGAGCGGUGCCUACAUCGCCGUUUUGAUUGUUUUUGAGGGAAUGAUCCCUCGUGACGUCCCGUUGUUCCUCGUCAUCGCUUCCUUUAGGUGUGUCCACCAUGUAUACAUCGUGAGAUGAGGUGGCUGUCCAGUGCCCUAUAGGUGCUGGUUCAUGUGUGUCUCCUACAUCGUCGUCCAUAUCAUUGAUGUCUUCGGAGUCGAAGUCGAGCACGUCGUUUAAACGUUCGACAGUGGCUACGAAGUGGGUGGUGGGUGGGCUUUGAAUUUCUUCGUCAUCCGCAUCCCAACCUUCCUGACCAUAGUCCGGCCAGGGCUCUCCUGAUAGUGAGAGAGACUUUAGUGAAUUCAGGAUGUCGCCAAAGGGCGAGUGUCGAAAGAUGUCCACGGCGGUGAACUCCAUGAUCGGCGCCCAAUCGGAUUCGAUUGGCAGGGGCGCGGAAGGUUCGGAGUCCGGAGAGGAGUCCGGCACCCUGGAGUCACAAGCUUCGCAAAGGACAGGGUUGGUGUUCGGCUCAAUCGCCGUAGAGAUAGCAGCCCCCGAGGCGGUGUCCAGCCACCCGUCCUCGAUCGGCGCAGUCGGCUCCGAGCUAAGGGUCGGAGCAGACACUUGUGCGGCUUCCAGGGCACUGUCCGGCGGCAGAGCUAGAUCAUGCCCAUCGUGACGGUGCGGCGCGCUUGGCUAUGGCUCGAACUCGUCGAAGAUCAAGUCUCCGCGGACGUCAGCCGUAUAGUUCAAACUUCCAAAUCUUGACCUGAUGGCCAGGGGCGUAGCCUUCAAUCUGCUCCAGAUAGCCAAGCGAAUUGGCCCGCAGUGCAAAGUCGCCUAAUACGAAGAUCUGUCCGGGGAGAAAAGUCUCACCCUAGACCGCAUCGUUGUUGAUGAUCGGAGGAGCCAUCGGGCCUAAUGAUGACGACACAGAGGAACUCUCAAUGAAAGCACCAAUGUCGGUGUCAAAACCGGCGAAUCUCGGGUAGGGGGUCUCGAGCUUUGCGUCUAGGCGGAUGGUAACAGGAGACAAGGGACACGAUGUUUUUACCUAGGUUCGGGCCCUCUUGAUGGAGGUAAAACCCUACUCCUGCUUGAUUGAUAUUGAUGAUAUGGGUAGUACAAGAGUAGAUCUACCACGAGAUCAGAGGGGCUAAACCCUAGAAGCUAGCCUAUGGUAUGAUUGUUGUUCGUCCUACGGACUAAAACCCUCCGGUUUAUAUAGGCACCGAAGAGGGUUAGGGUUACACAGAGUCGGUUACAAUGGUAGGAGAUCUACAUAUCCGUAUCGCCAAGCUUGCCUUCCAUGCCAAGGAAAGUUCCAUCCAGACACGGGAUGAAGUCUUCAAUCUUGUAUCUUCAUAGUCCAGGAGUCCGGCCAAGGGCUAUAGUCCCGCCAUCUGGACACCCCCUAAUCCAGGACUCCCUCAAUCUCCUAGAGUUUGAAUAGGCAGAUUGUGUUUGAGCGGAGGUUGUUGUUCAAACAAGAUUCUAUCGAUUUCAUUUCUUUCAUGCAUAUGCAAAUCAUUUCCAUGGUCUAGCAAAUAUUGUUCUAAAGGAUUAGUAGGAGGUAGAACAAUAGAAGCAAGACCAAUGAUUUCAUCCUUACUAGGCAAAUCUUUCUUAUGAGGUUUUCUACUAAACUUGGAAAAAUUAAACUCAUGAGAUUCAUCACCAAAGCUAACAACGACAGUUUGUUUCUCACAAUCUGUUUUAGCAUUAACGGUGUUCAAGAAAGGUCUAUUAAAGAUAAUGGGACAAACGUCAUCUUGUGGGUAACCAAGAACAAGAAAAUCAGUAGGGUAUUUUAUUUUCCCACACAAGACUUCAACAUCUCUAAUAAUCCCAAUUGGUGAUAUUGUAUAUUUGUUGGCAAGCUUAAUAGUAACAUCUAUGUCUUCUAUUUGAGUGGGUGCUAUAUCAUUUGUAAUUUCUUGAUAUAAGGAAAAAGGAAUAGCACUCACGCUAGCACCUAAGUCACAUAAACCAUGAUAACAACGGUCUCCUAUCUUAACUGAGACUGCAUGUAUGCCAACAACAGGUCUAUGUUUAUCUUUUUCAUCGGGUUUGGCAAUUCUAGCAGCUUUAGCACAAAAGUAAAUAACAUGCCCAUCAAUAUUAUCGACCAAGAGAUCCUUAACCAUAGCAACACUAGGUUCUACUUUGAUUUGUUCAGCUGGUUUAGGUGUUCUAAUAUAACUUUUGUUGACCAUGGUUGAAACUUUAUCAUGUUCCUUCAUCCUAACAGGGAAAGGUGGUUUUUCAAUAUAAGCAGUGGGAACAACUUGAUCAACAUUGUAAAUGAUAGUUUCUUCUUUAGCUUUUACUAGUUCUUUAAUUUCUUCUUUAAUUGGUGGGUGAUAUUUGAACCACUUCUCUUUAGGAAGAUCAACAUGAGUAGCAAAAGAUUCACAAAAGGAAGCUACUAUCUCAAAGUCAAGUCCAUAUUUAGUGCUAAACUUUUGAAAAGCAUCUGUAUUCAUAAAAGAUUUAACACAAUCAAACUUAGGCUAAAUACCUGACUCUUUACCUUCGUCGAGUUCCCAAUCUUCAGAGUUGCAUUUAAUUGUUUCUAAAAGAUCCCACCGUAAUUCAAUAGUCUUCUUCAUAAAAGAACUAGUACAAGAAGUAUCGAGCAUGGAUUGAUCAUUACGAGAAAACCGAGCAUAAAAGUUCUGAAUAAUAAUUUCUCUUGAGAGCUCAUGAUUGGGGCAUGAAUAUAACAUUGACUUAAGCCUCCCUGUCGGUGUCAAAACCGGCGGAUCUCGGGUAGGGGGUCCCGUGUAACGCCCUCGAUGCGGCUAUAUCUCCCACGUGUCGAAGCACGACUUAGAGGCAUAACCGCAUUGAAAUCAAUGUCGCAAGUGAGGUAAUCUUCGCACAAUCCAUGUAAUACAUAAGGGAAAAGAUACAUAGUUGGCUUACAGUCGCCACUUCACACAAUGCAUAAUUAAACAUCCAUCAUACAGAUUACACUCAAGGUCCGACUACGGAACCAAAAUAAAAGAAGAAUACCCCACAUGCAACGCAGAUCCCCGAUCGCCCCAACUGGGCUCCACUACUAAUCGUCUGGAAAUGAAACAUAGUAUCGACCAAGUGCCUCAUCAUAUUCCCACUUCAGCUCAGUUGCGCCAUCAGCGCUGGCAUCACCGGUACCUGCAUCUGUUUUGGUAGAAUCUGUGAGCCACAGGGACUCAGCAAUCUCACACCCGCGAGAUCAAGACUAUUUAAGCUUAAGGGAAGGCUGGUGUAAAAAGAGGAAGGGCUGCAGCAAGCGACUAGCAUAUAUGGUGGCUACAUCGCAAAAGAGAGCGAGAAGAGAAGCAAAGCACGGUCGUGAAGCUAGUAGUGAUCAAGAGGUGAUCCUAGCAACCUGCGUCAAACAUAACUCCAACACCGUGUUCACUUCCCGGACUCCGCCGAGAAGAGACCAUCACGGUUACAUACACGGUUGAUGUAUUUUAAUUAAGGUCAACUUCGGGUUUUCUACAACCGGACAUUAACAAAUUCCCAUCUGCCUCAUAACCGCGGGCACGGCUUUCGAAAGAUAAAACCCUGCAGGGGUGUCCCAACUUAGCCCAUAACAAGCUCUCGCGAUCAACGAAGGAAUAAACCUUCACCCAAGACACUCCGAUCAGACUCGGUAUCCCGGUACAUCAAGACAUUUCGACAAUGGUAAAACAAGACCAGCAAAGCCGCCCGAUGUGCCGACAAAUCCCGAUAGGAGCUGCACAUAUCUCGUUCUCAGGGCACACCGGAUGAGCAAGACGACGGGUUGGGAUAGACCCUGGUUGCCAAGGGGGCGCCNNNNNNNNNNNNNNNNNNNNNNNNNNNNNNNNNNNNNNNNNNNNNNNNNNNNNNNNNNNNNNNNNNNNNNNNNNNNNNNNNNNNNNNNNNNNNNNNNNNNNNNNNNNNNNNNNNNNNNNNNNNNNNNNNNNNNNNNNNNNNNNNNNNNNNNNNNNNNNNNNNNNNNNNNNNNNNNNNNNNNNNNNNNNNNNNNNNNNNNNNNNNNNNNNNNNNNNNNNNNNNNNNNNNNNNNNNNNNNNNNNNNNNNNNNNNNNNNNNNNNNNNNNNNNNNNNNNNNNNNNNNNNNNNNNNNNNNNNNNNNNNNNNNNNNNNNNNNNNNNNCUCGCGAAAACCCAAGGGAAAAAGGCUAGGUGGCAAAUGGUAAAACCAAGGUUGGGCCUUGCUGGAGGAGUUUUAUUCAAAGCGAACUGUCAAGGGGGUCCCAUAAAUCACCCGACCGCGUAAGGAACGCAAAAUCAAGGAACAUAACACCGGUAUGACGGAAACUAGGGUGGCAAGAGUGGAACAAAACACCGGGCAUAAGGCCGAGCCUUCCACCCUUUACCAAGUAUAUAGAUGCAUUAAUUAAAACAAAAGAUAUUGUGAUAUCCCAAAAUAUCCAUGUUCCAACAAGGAACAAACUUCAUCUUCACCUGCAACUAGCAACGCUAUAAGAGGGGCUGAGCAAAGCGGUAACAUGGCCAAACAACGGUUUGCUAGGACAUGGGUGGUUAGAGGUUUGACAUGGCAACAUGGGUGGCAAGAUAUAGCAAGUGGUAGGUAUCGCAGCAUAGGCAUAGCAAAAGAGCGAGCAUCUAGCAAGCAAAGAUAGAAGUGAUAUCGAAGGUAUGGUCAUCUUGCCUGUAAGGUUCUCAGAGUUGUCGAAGGCUGGAUCCUCGUAGGCGUUCUCAACAGGCUCCUCGUACACGUACUCGUCUCCCGGCUCUACCCAAAGCAAGAACACAAGCAACGGAACCACAAUCAAACAAGGAACAAUGCACAAGCAAUAUGAUGCAAAACAUGACAUGCGAUGCGAGAUGUGAUAUGCUAUGCAUAUGUAUGCUCCGGAAGGAAAAUGAUGAACAGGGCAUCAACUUGGCAAACCAAGUAUGCCGCUGGAAAGAUGAGAUGAUUUCGGUUGAAAACGAUAUAAAGAUCACCGGAAUCGGAUGCACGGUUUGCAAAUGACAAGCAAAACAAGAAUGACGCAAAUCUGCGUUUAACAGCCCGAGGCUACUUAGCACGCAACACGAAACUAUGCUACAGCACACCAACAUAUAAACAAAGCAUAUGGCAGCGAACUACAGGAGAUGCUUAACAAAAGAGGAACACUGAGCUACGGCUAAAUCACAUCAUAACAUGUUCAAACAAGCAUGGUGAAAGUGCUAAAAAUAUCAGGUUCACAGACUUAGUGAAAAUACUAAGAUGCCAGGAAUUAACAUCAGGAAGGCAUGUUUAGAGCAAGCAAACAACAUGCUACAGGAACUUAUAAUAGCAAAGCAAGGCAUGACAUGAUUCUACUCAAAGCAUAUUUCAAUAGUCCCUUACUGACCAUAAGCCAAAAAGGACUUUAAGAAAUGAUGGCACCCAUGUAAACAUUGCAAGUUUUAUUACAGAUUUCAGACUUGGCAGAAAAACCGGGCAUGGCAAAAACAGUUAACGAGUAGGCAUGUUCGUGAGCUCGAUGCACUCACUACAGAGAAUCUCAUGAUAAACUAAGCAUACACCCAUCAAGAAGACAGGGCAUAGGAGCUAUACAUGGCAAGAACAACAUCAUAGCAUACACGGAUCAACUACAACGACCUCGUGAAAAUUGAAUCUCAUGCAAACAGUCUGCCAGGAAACAUUUUCAAGCAAAAGUACAACACGAAAAUGACAUGCUAGACUACUCCAUAAAUACCAACAAAGGCAUGGAUGGAUAGAGCACAUCCAUAUGUUCAAAACAACCUUACUGAUCAUGCUCAAAAAGGGCAUGGAUCUCUCUGUAACAACAUGAACAUAUGGCAUAAAAAUAACAGCAGGACAUGACUUAGUGAAAUCACUAAGUUCCUGAAAUCAGCAACAUCAUCAUCCCUACUUUGCAUGCUUGUUCUAGUCAACACAUAACUCACAAAAAUACAUGGCAAACACCCCUGGAAAGAUGGCAUGGCAAUGUUCAACUCACAUGUAGGACUCAAGUUCAUAAGGUGCACACAUAAUUCAUGGCAAAAAUGACAAAAGAGCUCGAGCUGAUAAGAUUCUGAAACUAACGAUCUGAAGCCCUCUUCCAACAGCAUUUCGGGCAUCAAGAUGAGCUCAAAUGCAAAUGAUGCAAUGGAAUGAAAUGAUGUACUCUUCGAGGCGAACAAUUUGACAUAUUAUACGCCCAAAAUGGAGCCACGGGUGCGGAGAUGUGAUGCUAUGAAAAUGCCACGAAAUUAUCACAGAAAUGACUUAGUGGAAAUCAGGGGGAAAGAGGUCAACCGUUAGGGUUUCGGAUCUGGAUCCGGAUCUCGCCGGAGUUGGAGGUCGCCGGCGCGGGAGCUCGCCGGAGUAGGCUCGGGAGGAGGAAGGAGAGGCCGGGGCGGCGGCGGAUCCGGCGGGGCCGGCGGCGGCGCGGCAGAGGCGGAGCGGCGGCNNNNNNNNNNNNNNNNNNNNNNNNNNNNNNNNNNNNNNNNNNNNNNNNNNNNNNNNNNNNNNNNNNNNNNNNNNNNNNNNNNNNNNNNNNNNNNNNNNNNNNNNNNNNNNNNNNNNNNNNNNNNNNNNNNNNNNNNNNNNNNNNNNNNNNNNNNNNNNNNNNNNNNNNNNNNNNNNNNNNNNNNNNNNNNNNNNNNNNNNNNNNNNNNNNNNNNNNNNNNNNNNNNNNNNNNNNNNNNNNNNNNNNNNNNNNNNNNNNNNNNNNNNNNNNNNNNNNNNNNNNNNNNNNNNNNNNNNNNNNNNNNNNNNNNNNNNNNNNNNNNNNNNNNNNNNNNNNNNNNNNNNNNNNNNNNNNNNNNNNNNNNNNNNNNNNNNNNNNNNNNNNNNNNNNNNNNNNNNNNNNNNNNNNNNNNNNNNNNNNNNNNNNNNNNNNNNNNNNNNNNNNNNNNNNNNNNNNNNNNNNNNNNNNNNNNNNNNNNNNNNGGCGGCGGACGUGUCCGCCCGCGCAGAGAGGAACGGGGCUAGGGUUAGGGUGGUUUUGACCCGGGAUUUUUGGGGGAGAGGGUGUUUUUAUAGGUAGAAGGAGCUAGGAAGCUCCAAAUGAGGUGCGGUUUUCGCCCACACGAUCGUGAUCGAACGACCGAGGGCAUGGAGGGGAGUUAGAUGGGUUAUUGGGCUGUUUUGGAGGGUUGUUGGGCUGCAACUCAAAAGAGGCCUUUGCGAGAGUGCGGUUAACCGUUGGAGUACCAAACGAACUCCAAAUGACCCGAAACUUGACAGGUGGUCUACCGGUGCUAUACCAGGGCCACUUGGCAAGGCUCGGUCCAUUCCGAGAAUGUUCAACACCCGCACACGGAAAAAGAACAAGAGGGGGCGCCGGGAACAUAGGAGUGUCGGAUUGCAAAACGGACAACGGGGAAAAUGCUCGGAUGCAUGAGGCGAACACGUAUGCAAAUGAGAUGCACAUGAUGACAUGAUAUGAGAUGCAUGACAUGAACAAAAUGCAAAACGAAAACAAAACCCAACCACGGAGGGAAUAUCAUAGCACAUAUCCGAAAAUGGCAAGAGUUGGAGUUACAAAUAUGGAAAGUAACAUCCGGGGUGUUACAACACUCCACCACUACAAGAGGAUCUCGUCCCGAGAUCUAGGACUGAAAGAACUCCGAAUAUUCGGAACGGAGGUGAUCCUCACGCUCCCAGGUGGCUUCUCGGUCGGAAUGAUGUGACCACUUUACUUUCAGGAAUUUGAUUGACUUGUUGCGAGUCUUGCGCUCGGUUUCUUCAAGAAUAGCAACGGGGUGCUCAUGAUAAGAGAGGUCUUCUUGGAGGUCAAUUUCUUCAAAGUUGAUAGUGCGCUCAGGAAUCUUCAAGCACUUGCGGAGCUGUGACACGUGAAACACAUCGUGCACGUUUGCAAAGUUGGAUGGAAGCUCAAGUUGAUAGGCGAGAUCGCCUCUUUUGCCAAUGAUCUUGAAAGGACCCACGUAUCUAGGGGCAAGCUUCCCUUUGAUACCGAAGCGACGAGUGCCUUUCAUUGGAGAGACGCGGAGGUAGACAUGGUCUCCGAUUUCAAAAGCCACAUCACGGUGCUUGUCAUCAUAAUAGCCCUUCUGGCGCGAUUGCGCGGCUUUGAGAUUCUCACGAAUGACUUUGCACAUUUCUUCGACUUCUGUGAUCAAGUCGUUGCCAAGAAGUUGGCGUUCACCUGUCUCGGACCAAUUGAGAGGAGUACGACACUUUCUGCCAUAGAGAAUUUCGAAUGGGGCCUUGCCCGAACUUGCUUGGAAGCUGUUGUUGUAGGAGAACUCGGCAUAUGGAAGACAUUCUUCCCACUUCAUGCCAAAGGAGAUGACACAAGCCCUGAGCAUAUCUUCAAGGAUUUGAUUGACUCGCUCGACUUGGCCACUAGUUUGAGGAUGAAAAGCUGUGCUGAAACGAAUGUUGGUGCCCAUGGCCUUCUGAAAGGAGUCCCAAAACUUAGAAGUGAAGAUGCUUCCACGGUCUGAAGAGAUCAAUUGUGGAAUACCGUGCAAGGAGACAAUUCUGGAGGUGUAUAGCUCUGCCAGCUGAGCUGCUGUGAUAGAUUCUUUGACAGGAAGAAAAUGAGCCACUUUAGUAAGCUUGUCAAUGACAACGAAGAUAGCAUCAUUUCCACGCUUGGACUUAGGAAAACCAGUCACGAAGUCCAUCUCGAUAUGAUCAAACUUCCAUUCCGGAAUAGCAAGAGGUUGGAGGAGACCAGCUGGUCUUUGGUGUUCUGCUUUCACCCUUCUGCAGACAUCACAUUCAUUCACGAAUUGAGCAAUUUCUCGCUUCAUUCGAGUCCACCAAUACGACUGCUUGAGGUCAUGGUACAUCUUCGUACUUCCAGGAUGAAUGGAUAGGAGGGAAUUGUGUGCCUCAUUCAUGAUGACUUUUCUCAGAUCGCCUUUAGGAACCACAAUACGGUCCUCGAAGAAAAGAGUAUCUUUGUCAUCCAAGCGAUAGCACUUGUAUUUGGAAAUGCCCUUGUCAAUACCAUGUUUCACCUUCUUCACCAUGGCAUCUAGGAGUUGUGCCUCACGAAUUUGAUCUUCCAAAGUAGGAGAGACUAUGAGGUUGGCAAGAAAGCCUUGAGGAACAACUUGAAGAUUCAGCUUGCGGAAAGCUUCACAAAGAUCCAGUUGGAAGGGCUUGAGAAUUAAGCUGUUGCAAUAAGCCUUUCUGCUCAAGGCAUCUGCAAUGACAUUCGCCUUGCCAGGAGUGUAUUCAAUACUUGGAUUGUACUCUUGAAUCAUUUCGACCCAUCGAGUUUGCCUGAGGUUGAGGUUUGGUUGAGUGAAGAUAUACUUGAGACUCUUGUGAUCGGUGAAAAUGUCCACUUUCCUUCCCAACAAGAGAUGUCUCCAUGUUAUCAAUGCAUGGACAACUGCCGCCAACUCAAGAUCAUGAGUGGGCUAGUUCCUUUCGUUGGGCUUCAACUGGCGAGAGGUAUAGGCCACAACCUUCUUCUCUUGCAUUAACACAGCACCUAGACCUUGCAAGGAAGCAUCACAGAAAACUUCGAAUGGCUUGGAUUAGGAGGAGUCUACACAGGAGCUGUGACUAGCUUCUCUUUGAGGGUGUUGAAAGCGACAUCACACUCAGGCGUCCAGACAUACUUGACAUGCUUCUGGAGGAGGUUGGAAAGAGGUUUUGCAAUCUUGGAGAAGUUCUCAACGAAUCUUCGGCAAUAGCUUGCAAGACCGAGAAAACUGCGGAGCUGCUUGACAUUCUGAGGAGGUUCCCAAUUCAGAACUGAAGAUACCUUCUCGGGAUUAACAGCGAUGCCCUUGGCGGAGAUGAUAUGACCAAGAUAAAGAACUUCAUCAAGCCAGAACUCACAUUUGGAAAACUUCGCAUAGAAUUGAUGCUCUCUGAGCUUGUCAAGCACCAAUCGCAAAUGUUUGGCAUGAUCCUGCUUGUUCUUGGAGAAAACCAAAAUAUCAUCGAGAUACACCAAGACGAAAUCAUUUGUGUAGGGGUUGAAGAUAAAGUUCAUCAUGCGAGAGAAAGUUGGAGGAGCAUUGACAAGGUCGAAAGACAUGACAGUAUAUUCAUAAGAACCAAAGCUUGUUCUGAAUGCUGUCUUGGGAAUAUCUUGUUCACGAAUGCGAAUCUGAUGAUAACCCAUACGAAGGUCAAGCUUGGAGAAAACUUUAGCACCUUUGAGUUGCUCGAAUAGCUCAUUGAUGUUGGGAAGUGGAUACUUGUUCUUGAUUGUCUUCUUGUUCAAUGGACGGUAAUCGACGCAAAGUCGGUCCGUGCCAUCCUUCUUCUGGACGAAAAGAACUCCACAUCCCCAUGGAGAAGAACUCGGUCUGAUCAAACCCAGACGCUCUUGUUCAUCGAGCCGCUUCUUCAAUUCUUUCAGCUCCUUGGGUCCAAGCUUGUAAGGACGCUUGCAAACGGGUUCAGUGCCAGGCUCAAGAUCGAUAACGAAUUCGACUGGCCGAUGAGGAGGCAUACCCGGAAGCUCUUCUGGAAAGACAUCUUGGUACUCACAAACGACUGGAAUCUGAGAGAUAGCAUCCAACUCGCCCUUCUCAUUGAGAGAAAACAACCGAAUGGUUUCAUCACGAGUGGCAUAGAUGAUAACAUCCUCAGAAGGGUGUGUCAAUUGAAUUUGUCUGGCAGCACAAUCAAGCUGAGCCUUGUGCUGAGAAAGCCAGUCCAUCCCGAGAAUUAGAUCAAUAUCAGAGUCGCCAAGAACCAUUGGAGAAGAUAGAAAUCUAUAGCCGCCCAGCUUGAUAGAAACAUCCGGGACACAAUUAUUAGAUGUCAUUUGCAUACCCGGGGACACAAUCUUCAACGGGACAGGAAUCUUUUCCGUCACAAACUCAUGCUUGGCAACAAAAGGUCUAUGCCAACCCGUCGUCUUGCUCGGCCUUAUGCCCGGUGUUUUGUUCCACUCUUGCCACCCUAGUUUCCGUCAUACCGGUGUUAUGUUCCUUGAUUUUGCGUUCCUUACGCGGUCGGGUGAUUUAUGGGACCCCCUUGACAGUUCGCUUUGAAUAAAACUCCUCCAGCAAGGCCCAACCUUGGUUUUACCAUUUGCCACCUAGCCUUUUUCCCUUGGGUUUUCGCGAGNNNNNNNNNNNNNNNNNNNNNNNNNNNNNNNNNNNNNNNNNNNNNNNNNNNNNNNNNNNNNNNNNNNNNNNNNNNNNNNNNNNNNNNNNNNNNNNNNNNNNNNNNNNNNNNNNNNNNNNNNAGUGUUGGUCCAACUUGAGCGAUGUCCGGCGCCCCCUUGGCAACCAGGGUCUAUGCCAACCCGUCGUCUUGCUCAUCCGGUGUGCCCUGAGAACGAGAUAUGUGCAGCUCCUAUCGGGAUUUGUCGGCACAUCGGGCGGCUUUGCUGGUCUUGUUUUACCAUUGUCGAAAUGUCUUGAUGUACCGGGAUACCGAGUCUGAUCGGAGUGUCUUGGGUGAAGGUUUAUUCCUUCGUUGAUCGCGAGAGCUUGUUAUGGGCUAAGUUGGGACACCCCUGCAGGGUUUUAUCUUUCGAAAGCCGUGCCCGCGGUUAUGAGGCAGAUGGGAAUUUGUUAAUGUCCGGUUGUAGAAAACCCGAAGUUGACCUUAAUUAAAAUACAUCAACCGUGUAUGUAACUGUGAUGGUCUCUUCUCGGCGGAGUCCGGGAAGUGAACACGGUGUUGGAGUUAUGUUUGACGCAGGUUGCUAGGAUCACCUCUUGAUCACUACUAGCUUCCCGACCGUGCUUUGCUUCUCUUCUCGCUCUCUUUUGCGAUGUAGCCACCAUAUAUGCUAGUCGCUUGCUGCAGCCCUUCCUCUUUUUACACCAGCCUUCCCUUAAGCUUAAAUAGUCUUGAUCUCGCGGGUGUGAGAUUGCUGAGUCCCUGUGGCUCACAGAUUCUACCAAAACAGAUGCAGGUACCGGUGAUGCCAGCGCUGAUGGCGCAACUGAGCUGAAGUGGGAAUAUGAUGAGGCACUUGGUCGAUACUAUGUUUCAUUUCCAGACGAUUAGUAGUGGAGCCCAGUUGGGGCGAUCGGGGAUCUGCGUUGCAUGUGGGGUAUUCUUCUUUUAUUUUGGUUCCGUAGUCGGACCUUGAGUGUAAUCUGUAUGAUGGAUGUUUAAUUAUGCAUUGUGUAAAGUGGCGACUGUAAGCCAACUAUGUAUCUUUUCCCUUAUGUAUUACAUGGAUUGUGCGAAGAUUACCUCACUUGCGACAUUGCUUUCAAUGCGGUUAUGCCUCUAAGUCGUGCUUCGACACGUGGGAGAUAUAGCCGCAUCGAGGGCGUUACAUCCCGAACUGUGCGUCUAGGCGGAUGGUAACAGGAAACGAGGGACACAAUGUUUUUACCCAGGUUCGGGCCCUCUUGAUGGAGGUAAAACCCUACGUCCUGCUUGAUUAAUAUUGAUGAUAUGGGUAGUACAAGAGUGGAUCUACCACGAGAUCAAGGAGGCUAAACCCUAGAAGCUAGCCUAUGGUAUGAUUGUUGAGAUGUAAUGUUCGUCCUAUGGACUAAGGCCCUCCGGUUUAUAUAGACACCGGAGAGGCUAGGGUUACACAGAGUCGGUUACAAUGGUAGGAGAUCUACAUAUCCGUAUUGCCAAGCUUGCCUUCCACGCCAAGGAAAGUACCUUCCGGACACGAGCCGGAGUCUUCAAUCUUCUAUCUUCGUAGUAUGGGAGUCCGGCGAAUAUUGAUAGUCCGGCUAUCCGGACACCCCCUAGUCCAGGACUCCCUCAGUAGCCCCCGAACCAGGCUUCAAUGACAAUAAGUCCAGCGUGCUUGUAGUCUUCGGCGUUGCAAGGUGGGUUCUCCCUUCAAAUUCCAUGUACCAGCCGAAUAGUGUCCGGCUUCAUCUAGAAUAUUGUGCUCCUCGGCUUCCACGCCAAAUUAUGGCCCUCUUCCACGCGUCGCACGAAUGCGAAAAGCCAGGGUGUUUUUUACAUUUUACCCCCUAAUUGUGCGGGUCAUCCGCCUAUAAAAAAGGCAAGGAUCCAGAUCCAAAACACACCACCUUCCUCCCGCGUAUACUCCAUCAAAGCGCCUCUGACCUAGAAAUCCAUUCCACCAUGGAUCGUCAACGCGGCUCUUCCUCACGCGCUCCUAGCCCACCGCGAGGGGAUUGGAGGAGGUGCUCUAUUUUGCAUAAUGAGCUAGUGAAGCUCCAAACGGAGGGAUUUCUUCCUCCGGCUUUCAUGGUUCUAGUCCGAGCCGGACUGGUUACUUAUCGAGGUGGGAGGCAGGCGGAGGACACCCCAAGCCCCAACAAGGGGGAGCGAGUGUGUUUCGUCCCCUAUCUGAUAAGGGGGCUCAGAUUUCCAAUACAUCCGUUCCUCCGCGGGCUCCUGAAGUUCUACGGACUCCAGCUCCAUCACCUCACGCCCGCCUCUGUGCUGCAUAUUGCGGGCUACGUAGCUCUUUGCGAGCUAUUCCUGGGCAUCGAGCCCCAUUUUGCAUUGUGGAAGAGGCUGUUCUGCCUCGUACCCCGUUCUCACCAGCGGUCCAUAUAUCAAGUGGGCGGCGCCGAAAUAUGGCGCAUCGCCGGGACCGGAUACCUAUCUGGCACCCCCAAGAGGGCAUCCGAAGACUGGCCCUCGGAGUGGUUUUAUAUAGUAGACGCUCCGUUGCCCGACCCAGUCCGGAUCGGCCUCCCGGAGUUUGAUUCUGCUCCCUUGAAGAAACGCCUCAGCUGGUGCCCGCGGAGCCCCCGUUUGGAGGAAGACAAGAGCGUCCAUUACUUGAUGGGCCGGAUAAGAUUAAUGGCUCAUUCCGGCUUGACCAUGAUUGGAGUCAUGGCGACGUGCAUCAAGCGGGGGGUGCAGCCGCUGCAAUACAGAGGCCACCCCAUGUGGGAUUUCAACGGGGAGGACGAUGCUACCCGGCAUGGCCGCAAAGGGCCGGGUUCGACCGAGGAUCUGGUGAAGAUCCUGUCCGGUCUGUACAAGGGGGAGAAGGAGGACUUCCUUCAUCCGAACCCUUUGGACGGGUUUUCCAUGAUCAACCCUAGAGGAUGGGUAAGCGAACACCUCGAAGGAUUCCACCCGUGCUUUCCAAGUUUAAGCUUCUUACAUUAUGUCUCCGGCGCAGGAUCUACGCCGGACCGUGGAGGACAUGGUGAGUCCUGCUCCACAACCCAAGGAUCCGGAAGGAUCCCUGGGUCCGGCUUCUGAAGAGGAUCCGGACAUUGAGGUGGAGCUGAUCGACGGGGUGCAUCACCAGCUCAGCAUCGACAAUGCUUUGGUCGCCAUUACGGCGGACUACCCCGGGCUAAGCCUGGCUUCCCAGGUGACUAUGACCAAAGUCCGGACACCGUUAUCUUAUCCUUGCCUAUUUCUGACCUUCGCGAACGAUGGUGUUUUGCAGGAAGCGCCGUUACGGCAGGAAACCGAGCCUGCGGCGGCCGACCUACAGAGGUCAGUCCUAACUAGCAGGAGAAAAAGGAGCGCCGUGCGGAUGGAAACGUCGCCGCAAAGGUAUAGCUCAUGUUUGAUCUUUUCGAGCAACGCUCCGAGGAAACGUCUAAAUGCUCAUGAUCAUCACAGGAGAAAAAGCGCUCGCCGGACUGCGAGCGCAGGGAUUGCCGACCCAACCAACAAGAGCCAGGCUCCAGCGCCCGGUCUGGAGGGGGAGGCAAGCGCAAGACGCGAAUCGGAUCCUGCCCCAAUGGAGGAUACCGAUAGACUGUCCGCCACCAAGUCAGAGGUGGAGAGCGCUAUGAAUCAUAGACGCCGCCGGACAGUUUUUCAAGAAGCGUGCUUUUCCCCUGAGGCAUUGGAUGCCUUUAACGCAGGGGACGCGCAUCUCCGUGCUGCUCAAAAUGGUCUUACCAGAGCGACGGAGCAGUAUGUUAAAGACAUACGGGUAAGGGAAUUUUAAUGGUUGUAUACACCAGUAGCGCCCGAGACUUAAAUUAGUUAUGGAAACUGAUUUAAGGAUCAUUUGAAAUUUCAGGCUCUUAACGAGAAGAAUACCCAGCUGUCUCGGGAACUGCAAGAUUGCAAGGCCCAACUUGAGGCCGCACUUGCUGCCGCAUGAGGAGACGGAAAGACCCCUCCUGGUAACACAUUUGUAUAAAUUAAUAUAAGCAGGUGCCGCCGAACUAGAUCCGGACAGGCAAGCAUUGCUACGCCAGCUAAAGGCUGGCGAGAAUGUGCUGAAUAGGGUUCAGCAAGAAAGGAACAAGCUCCAAGAUGCCAAUGCCAAGCUCGGGGAAGAGCUGAAAGGCGCGCAGGCCGAGCUGUCCAGCUCCGUCAAGGAGAAUCAACGGCUUCGUCGCGGCAUAUAUAGUAAGUGCGUGAGCGAACUCUUUAACAGAGAAGAGUUCGGCGAGGAAGUAAUUUGACAUAAUAUGUCUUGUAGGUGUACUCACGGGUCGUCCUGCAGAGGAGAUGCCCGUAUCAACGGGUGAUCAACUUCCCGAACUAUUGCAGCUACUCGAACGAGUUCGGCAUGCAAUGAGUGGCGCCGUACAGGCUUUAUGGCCAUCCCUCACCCUGCCCGAGGGCCUCGGGGAGCUUGCAGAGAAGCUGCAGGGAGUACGGCAGUGCUUCCGUUUGUGGAAGGUUUCGGCUUGCCGUCAAGGUGCCAGGGAGGCUUGGGCCAUGGUGAAGACGCGGUAUAAGAAGGCGGAUCCCAACCAUAUGGCCGAAGUUGGACCGGUGGGGCCUGAUGGGAAGGAGAUCCCUAUGAGUUUAGUGUACGGCCAGGUAGAACUGGCUGCUAAAUUUUCCCAACGGGACUGUAAGCUAGACAGCCUGUUAGACGGGAUUGAGGAGGAAUACAAUCAAUAAAUUUGACAAUGUAUGUUAUCCUUUGAAAAGACAUGUGAAAUGCCUUCUAGCCUGAUUGUAGAUCGUUUGUCUUUGCCGACCUUUUCGCUUCGACCUCGGGACCCUAGAGUCCGGAGUGUGUCCGAAUACCUUUUUGGUUAAGAAACAACCGUGGUAUGCAUGGAGACCAGGCGUAGGGGUCAUUAGUGCUUUAUCAGACAAGUGCCCAACUAGUUAUGUUAUAUUACAUGGUUAGUAAGAAACAUCUUCCAGGGAGAAUAGUUCCGUUAAGGGUUCCUUUCGCUGGGGAGGCAUGCCCUAAAGUGCAUUGCCGGACUGCAAAGAAAGAAGGAAAACAUCUGGGGGCAGAUGGAAAAAUAGUUAAGAAAUCAUCUUUUAAAUCACCGACCGAAUAUUCCCUUAAGAACGCUAGCUUUCGGCUUCACCCAGUCUGAGGUACACAUCCGGCUGACCCGGUAGUAACAAUGGCAGAGGUGCUCCCUUUACCUCCUAGCCGAACAAUCGGGAACGUAGGGGUAAGCACAAGAGCCAGGCAACCCAGCUUGGCCAAAACUUAAGUCAUAUCGAUGCAUAUAAUGGCGAGUAAAAGGUACAUGUGGAAGCUUGACACAUGUGUUGGGUAUAAAACCCGUAUAAUUGAGCUUCUGUGAAAGAAGCCCCCAGGAAUAACGAGUGCGGAUGGCACAUCGUGCGUACGCAAAGAAUGCGAAAAUAGGCCCCGAAGGGCUUUUAAAUUAAAAGGAUAAAAAGAGAAAUAGAAGAUAGCCGAAAUAUAAAAGGUUGGACGGGGGAAGGGGACGAACUCUUAGUCCGGCGCUAGGCAUAGAAUCGUCGGAGUCGGGCUGCGUUCCAUGGGUUCGGCUCGAGUCGGUUGUCCGACGCAUUUCGUAGAUGGUAUGCUCCGCCGGUCAGUACUUGAUCAAUAAUGAAGGGGCCUUCCCAUCUGGGCUUGAGCUUGUCCUUUUUCUUGUCCGGCAGGCGUAGAACUAGUUCGCCAACAUUGUAAGUCUUGGCCCGUACUUCUCUGUUUUGGUAUCUUCGGGCCUGUUGCUGAUAGAAUGCGGAACGAGCCUUCGCGACGUCACGUUCUUCCUCCAAUGUGUCCAAGCUGUCCUGCCGAUCCAACUCGGCUUCUCUUUCCUCAUACAUGCGCACUCGAGGUGAGUCAUGAAUAAUGUCGCAGGGCAAGACUGCCUCUACGCCGUAUACCAUAAAAAAUGGUGUGAAUCCGGUAGUACGGUUAGGCGUUGUCCGCGGCCCCCAGAGUACGGAGUCGAGCUCCUCGACCCAUUGGGUGUCUGAUUUAGUGAGUGACCUCACUAGUCUGGGUUUAAUGCCGCUCAUUAUUAGACCAUUUGCUCUUUCCACUUGACCGUUGGUUUGAGGGUGAUAGACUGACGCAUAGUCGAGCUUAAUGCCCAUAUUUUUGCACCAUGACUUGACCUCAUCGGCUGUGAAGUUCGUGCCGUUGUCGGUGAUGAUGCUGUGGGGGACUCCGUAACAGUGUACCACCUCUGAUAUAAAGUCUAUCACUGGUCCGGACUCUGCCGUUUUGACCGGUUUGGCCUCUAUCCAUUUGGUGAACUUAUCCACCAUGACCAAUAGGUACUUUUUCUUGUGGGUUCCCCCUUUAAGGGGUCCAACCAUGUCAAGCCCCCAGACCGUGAACGGCCAGGUAAUGGGUAUGGUUUUGAGGGCGGUGGGUGGCAUAUGGCUCUGAUUAGCAAAGAGUUGACAACCGACGCAUCGCUGGACCAAGUCCUGUGCAUCUGCCCGAGCCGUCGGCCAAUAAAAUCCUGUACGGAAUGCCUUUCCUACCAGGGCCCGGGCUGCUGCGUGGUGUCUGCCUAGUCCGGCGUGGAUUUCAGCCAGGAGGUUUCGCCCUUCUUUUUCGGAGAUACACCUUUGAAGGACUCCGGUAGUACUUUUCUUGUAAAGUUCUCCCUCAUGGACCUUGUAGGCCUUCGAUCGCCGGACUAUGCAGCGGGCCUCAUUUUGGUCUUCAGGAAGUUCCUGCCUAAGUAAAUAGGCUAGGAAAGGUUCUGUCCAUGCGGGGAUUACUGCCAUUAUAACAUGGGCGGAGGGUGUUAUGUCAUCUGCUGAAUCACCGGUUGGUGCGGUUUUCUCCGGUUUGUCGCUACCGGGCUCCUCUUCCCAUAGUACGGAUGGCUUGAAGAGCCGUUCCAGGAAGAUAUUUGGAGGGACGGCAUCACGUUUCACACCGAUGCGUGCCAGGACGUCGGCCGCUUGGUUAUUAUCUCGGGCUAUGUGAUGGAAUUCGAGUCCUUCAAACCGAGCUGACAUUUUCAGGACAGCAUUGCGAUAUGCUGCCAUUUUCUGAUCCUUGGCGUCAAAGUCUCCAUUUAUUUGGGAUAUUGCAAGGUUUGAAUCCCCGCGCACCUCUAGGCGUUGAAUGCCCAUGGAGACUGCCAUCCGAAGACCAUGUAAUAGGGCCUCGUAUUUGGCUGCAUUGUUGGAGUCCGUGUACAUUAUUUGAAGUACAUAUUGGACUGUAUCUCCGGUGGGGGACGUCAGUACGACGCCAGCCCCCAAUCCGGCCAACAUUUUGGAACCGUCGAAGUGCAUAGUCCAAUUGGAGUGUGCGACGUACUCUUUAGGGAGUUCGGCUUCAGUCCAUUCGGCGACGAAGUCAGCCAAAACUUGUGACUUUAUGGCUCGUCGAGGUUUGUAAGUUAUGUCGAAUGGCAAGAGCUCAAUUGCCCAUUUUGCGAUCCUGCCCGUUGCGUCGCAGUUAUUUAUAAUGUCAUUGGGUGGUACUUCGGAGGCCACUCUUAUCGAACACUCUUGAAAGUAGUGCCGGAGCUUCCGAGACGCCAUGAACACCGCAUAUGCUAUCUUCUGAUAGUGCGGGUAACAGGAUUUGCAGGGGUUAACACAGUGGAUACGUAAUACACUGAUUUUUGAAGAGGGAAUUUAUGCCCUUCUGUCGCUCGUUCGACGACGAGGACAGCGCUUACAACUUGAUGUGUUGCUGCGAUAUAUAACAACAUUGGUUCGCCCAUAGUGGGCGCAGCCAGGACCGGAUUUGUUGCCAAUAUGGCCUUUAUUUCUUCGAGUCCGGCAGUGGCGGCAUCCGUCCACUCGAAGUGUUCGGUGCGCCUUAGGAGGCGAUAAAGGGGCAACGCCUUCUCUCCUAAACGGGAGAUAAAACGGCUUAAAGCUGCCACGCAUCCUGUUAAUUUUUGUAUUUGCUUGAGGUCCUUUGGAAUAUCCAACUGUGACAGAGCCCGGAUUUUGGCCGGAUUUUCUUCAAUUCCUCUACCGGAUACGAUG
rnacentral:lncRNA from 1 species